rnacentral:rRNA from 1 species
CACGUAGGGAGCAAGCGUUGUCCGGAUUUAUUGGGCGUAAAGAGCUCGUAGGUGGUUCGGUAAGUCAGGUGUGAAACCUCCAGGCUCAACCUGGAGACGCCACUUGAUACUGCUGUGACUGGAGUCCGGUAGGGGAGCGUGGAAUUCCUGGUGUAGCGGUGAAAUGCGCAGAUAUCAGGAGGAACACCAGCGGCGAAGGCGGCGCUCUGGGCCGGUACUGACACUGAGGAGCGAAAGCGUGGGGAGCAAACAGG